rnacentral:ncRNA from 1 species
AUUAGUAUUAAUUAACCUUGUCAAAACUAGUACGGACAAGGGCAAUAUGACUACUUAAUUAAAACAAAUCAUUGUGAUGGUCCUUGUGGAUGCUAACACAAUGUGAUUUAUGCCUAGUGCUCUGCAUGUCAAAGUGAAGAAAGUCAACCAAGCGUGGGUAAACGAUGGGAUUAACUAUGACUGUCUUAAGGUAGGAAGAUGCCUCUGCAUCAUCUAAUUAGUGACAUGCAUGAAUGGAUUAACGAGAUUCCCAUUGUCCCGAGAUACUAUCUAGAGAAACCACAGCCAGGGGAAUGAGAUUGGAAGAAUUAGAGGGGAAAUAAGACCUCGUUGAGCUUGACUCUUGUACGACUUUGUGAAAUGACUUGAGAGGUGUAGAAUAAGUGGGAGUUAUUUUCAGCGCAAGUGAAAUACCACUACUUUUAACAUUAUUUUACUUAUUUCAUGGGGCAGAGACGAGGCAUUGCACAUAUGUUAAAAUAUAAUUCACAUUUCCUUUGUAUUCAUUUGUAUUUACAAGACAUAACCUUCAUCAUUUACUGGAUUUCAAUUUGGUACAAUUUCCAAAGGCGUUUUCAAUAGUUUGUUGAGAGGAAAAAUUGUGUCCCUAGUUGUUAUUGCCUUUCUCUUUUCAUUAUUAAUUUUAUGGCAACUCAUUUCUUGUGAUUUUUCCAUUUCUCCCUUCUCUUCCUCUUGACGAUGAACAUUGAUCCUUAUUCUUUGUCACCAUACCACUAAAUGAGGAUUAUAGGCUACAAGGGGUAUAAGAGGAUGAGAAAUAAAUAGUUAAUGAUGGGGGAGCAAGUUGAGAGAUAGAUUCCUCAAAAACUAAGG